rnacentral:lncRNA from 1 species
CCCUGGUCCCAGAUUCUGACCCAGCAGGUCUGGGGCAGGAAGAGCCCAGGAGUCUGCAUUUCUAAAAAGCAGUGAAGACUAGAGGUCAAUUUUCAAGGUGAUUCUGUGCCCUGUUAUGCCCAUCACCCUUUCAACAAAGCACCGCAUCUCAAAAUCCACUGUUCUCCUUUGUCAAGCUUUACUUUCUAUAAGUGCAUUGGGGAUAAGCUCUGAGGGGAAGACCAGGCAGCCCGUUCAGGAUAUAAAUGAGCUCUCCCAAAACGAGCACUUUGUCAAGAAUGAUGGACGGCCCUUUCUGAAACCAGCAAGUGUGUUAAAAAUACAGCUCGUGGGUAUGGCUGUCUGCCAGAUGAUGACAACCCUUCCCGCCCAGAUACCCUCCAUCUGACUGCCCCCCCUGAAUUCUGCAGCAGCCCCUCACUGCUUUGGUGUACCCACUCCUGUUACCCCCACCCACUCCCCACUGUAGCCAGAGACAUUUUUAAGGAACUCAAAUCCACCUCUGUCUGUUUCAGUGUUUCCAACCUGUCUUGUGGGUCAGGUUCAGAACCCCUAGGGCAGCCCAGGGCACCUGGGGUACAGUGGAUAUCAAUGAAAGAGUGGAAUGAAGGAAGAAGAGAGAUUCCAGGGCACCUGGGUGGCUCAGUGGUUGAGCAUCUCUUUGGCUCAGGUCGUGAUCCCAUGGUCCUGAGAUUGAGUUCCACAUCGGGUUUCCCUGCAAGGAGCCUGCUUCUCCCUCUGCCUGUGUCUCUGCCCCUCUCUCUGUGUCUGUCAUGAAUAAAUAAAUAAAAUCUUGAAAGAAGCAGCAGAAAUAGUAGUAGAAGGGAGAGUCCUAGUAGCAGAUUUUGGGGGUCUCCUAGUCUAAAGGAAGGUCAACAGUAGCCUAGGAAUGGACAGGAAGCCCUGGGGGAACUGAGUCCCCCAUCACCAAAGGAAUCCAAAUAGGCUAGAUGAGUAGAUCCUUGGUAAGGACACUGGAAACUGUGUAGGAUGCCGAACAGUGGGCAUCAGCAGGAUGCAAUGAUUCUUUUUAAAAUGCCCCCUUUAUGAGGAGAACCCUCUUGCACUGUUGGUGGGAAUGUGAACUGGUGCAGCCACUCUGGAAAACUGUGUGGAGGUUCUUCAAAGGGUUAAAAAUAGACCUGCCCUCCGACCCAGCAAUUGCCCUGCUGGGGAUUUACCCCAAAGAUACAGAUGCAGUGAAACACCGGACACCUGCACCCCGAUGUUUCUAGCAGCAAUGUCCACAAUAGCCAAACUGUGGAGGGAGCCUCGGUGUCCAUCGAAAGAAGAAUGGAUCAAGAAGCUGUGGUCUAUGUAUACAAUGGAAUAUUCCUCAGCCAUUAGAAACGACAAAUACCCACCAUUUGCUUCGACGUGGAUGGAACUGGAGGGUAUUCUGCUGAGUGAAAUCAGCCAAUCGGAGAAGGACAAACGUUAUAUGGUCUCAUUCAUUUGGGGAAUAUAAAAAAUAGUGAAAGCGAAUAAAAAGGAAAGGAGAGAAAAUGAGUGAAAAUAUCAGAGAGGGAGACAGAACAUGAGAGACACCUAACUCUGGGAAAUGAACCAGGGGUGGUGGAAAGGGAG